AAAUAAAAAAAAAAAAAAAAAGGGAAAGCCUUGUUAAUGAGUAAAAGAGGUUCGGCCGAAGGCCUUUGAAGAAUGAAAAGCCUCGUCUUUUCUUGUUUCUCUAGUCUGCGUUUUUCAUAUAUUUUACUUUUAAUUUUUGUGGGAUUUUAAUUUUUAUUUCAAUUUUAAUUCCCCCUUUCAUUUAUCUCUAGAAAUGGGAUCUUCGCUAUACUUCUGCUUUCAUCAAGUGGAACUUGACGAAAACUACAGGUUACAGUUAUUUUCCCCCGAUUACUAAAUGCAAAGAAACCAUUGUCAUCCGCUUGUGCUUAAAUUCACAAAGUCGAUACCAGGCUCGCGUUCUUCUUAGCUUUCUUGAAAACAGCGGUGAAACUUGU
rnacentral:misc_RNA from 1 species